CCAAUAGCGUAUAUUAAAGUUGUUGCAGUUAAAAAGCUCGUAGUUGAAUUUCGGGGUCAGUAGGUCGGUCGUGCCACUGGUAUGAACUGGUUUUACUGAUUCCUCCCUCUUGAAGAACUGUAAUGCCAUUAAUUUGGUGUUGCAGGGAAUCAGGACUGUUACUUUGAAAAAAUUAGAGUGUUUAAAGCAGGCUUUAGCUUGAAUACAUUAGCAUGGAAUAAUGAAAUAGGACGUUUGAUCCUAUUUUGUUGGUUUCUAGGAUUGACGUAAUGAUUAAUAGGGAUAGUUGGGGGCAUUAGUAUUCAAUUGUCAGAGGUGAAAUUCUUGGAUUUAUUGAAGACUGACUACUGCGAAAGCAUUUGCCAAGGAUGUUUUCAUUAAUCAAGAACGAAAGUUAGGGGAUCGAAGACGAUCAGAUACCGUCGUAGUCUUAACCAUAAACUAUGCCGACUAGGGAUCGGAUGAUGUUAAUUUUUUAAUGACUCAUUCGGCGCCUUAC
rnacentral:rRNA from 1 species